rnacentral:rRNA from 1 species
AUUGAACGCAGGCGGCAGGCUUAACACAUGCAAGUCGAGCGGAGCGAGGGUGCUUGCACCUUAGCUUAGCGGCGGACGGGUGAGUAAUGCUUAGGAAUCUGCCUAUUAGUGGGGGACAACAUUCCGAAAGGAAUGCUAAUACCGCAUACGCACUACGGGGGAAAGCAGGGGAUCUUCGGACCUUGCGCUAAUAGAUGAGCCUAAUGCGGAUUAGCUAGUUGGUGGGGUAAAGGCCUACCAAGGCGCCGAUCUGUAGCGGGUCUGAGAGGAUGAUCCGCCACACUGGGACUGAGACACGGCCCAGACUCCGACGGGAGGCAGCAGUGGGGAAUAUUGGACAAUGGGGGGAACCCUGAUCCAGCCAUGCCGCGUGUGUGAAGAAGGCCUUAUGGUUGUAAAGCACUUUAAGCGAGGAGGAGGCUCUUUUGGUUAAUACCCAAGAUGAGUGGACGUUACUCGCAGAAUAAGCACCGGCUAACUCUGUGCCAGCCGCCGCGGUAA